UCCAGACUCCUACGGGAGGCAGCAGUGGGGAAUAUUGGGCAAUGGAGGAAACUCUGACCCAGCAACGCCGCGUGAAUGAUGAAGGUCUUCGGAUUGUAAAGUUCUUUUCUAAGGGAAGAAGAAAGUGACGGUACCUUAGGAAUAAGCCUCGGCUAACUACGUGUCAGCAGCCGCGGUAAUACGUAGGAGGCGAGCGUUAUCCGGAAUGACUGGGCGUAAAGGGUGCGUAGGUGGUUUGGCAAGUUAGUAGCGUAACUCCAAGGCUCAACCUUGGAACUACUACUAAAACUGUUGGACUUGAGUGCAGGAGGGGCAACCGGAAUUCCUAGUGUAGCGGUGGAAUGCGUAGAUAUUAGGAGGAACACCAGUGGCGAAGGCGGGUUGCUAGACUGUAACUGACACUGAGGCACGAAAGCGUGGGGAGCAAACAGGAUUAGAUACCCCAGUAC
rnacentral:rRNA from 1 species